rnacentral:rRNA from 2 species
GCUAUACAUGCAAGUCGAGCGAAUGGAUUAAGAGCUUGCUCUUAUGAAGUUAGCGGCGGACGGGUGAGUAACACGUGGGUAACCUGCCCAUAAGACUGGGAUAACUCCGGGAAACCGGGGCUAAUACCGGAUAACAUUUUGAACCGCAUGGUUCGAAAUUGAAAGGCGGCUUCGGCUGUCACUUAUGGAUGGACCCGCGUCGCAUUAGCUAGUUGGUGAGGUAACGGCUCACCAAGGCAACGAUGCGUAGCCGACCUGAGAGGGUGAUCGGCCACACUGGGACUGAGACACGGCCCAGACUCCUACGGGAGGCAGCAGUAGGGAAUCUUCCGCAAUGGACGAAAGUCUGACGGAGCAACGCCGCGUGAGUGAUGAAGGCUUUCGGGUCGUAAAACUCUGUUGUUAGGGAAGAACAAGUGCUAGUUGAAUAAGCUGGCACCUUGACGGUACCUAACCAGAAAGCCACGGCUAACUACGUGCCAGCAGCCGCGGUAAUACGUAGGUGGCAAGCGUUAUCCGGAAUUAUUGGGCGUAAAGCGCGCGCAGGUGGUUUCUUAAGUCUGAUGUGAAAGCCCACGGCUCAACCGUGGAGGGUCAUUGGAAACUGGGAGACUUGAGUGCAGAAGAGGAAAGUGGAAUUCCAUGUGUAGCGGUGAAAUGCGUAGAGAUAUGGAGGAACACCAGUGGCGAAGGCGACUUUCUGGUCUGUAACUGACACUGAGGCG